rfam:Granulicatella elegans ATCC 700633 genomic scaffold supercont2.1, whole genome shotgun sequence.
AUUCUUUGAGGGCAGAAAGGGUUCCUGCCGCACCUUAUUGAGGUACCUGAGAUGCUGGAUACACCGACCAGCCAAGGAAU